GGCUGGGAGCUGCGGCUGCCUUCAGCAAGCCGGGGGCUGACCCAGGUUCCCCCGGUCUCCUCCAUUCACCGGCACCCAGCGCAACAGCAUCUCACCUGUGCGGCCUCGGGGAACCCCCCCAGCUGUGAGUGCGCCCCCGCCCCGAAGGAAGCGGGAGGCCGCAAACCCGGGACCCUGGAAGAACAAGUACUCGCAAGCCAGGCCGCGCGGGGCGAGGGCCAGCCGGGCUGCUGACCAGCCGGGCCAGAGAUCUUGGCCGGAGCUGUCAAAACCACGCCUAUGGAGAGCCACAAUUGGUCUGAAACGCGUAAAAUCAGCAAUCAAAGGGGCUUGGCUCAUUAGCGAGGGGAUCCGCGCAGGAAGGACAUGUGAGAGAGUCACAGUUUUACAGAGAUCAGGACAAGAUCUCCCCCCAUUUCCACUCCGCGUCCUUUCGCCCAGCGCAGCCUGGGCUGGGGCGCUCAUGCCGGGCUAACUCUCUGCCUGCCAGUGGGGGUGUGCGUGUAGGGUGGUGCCCGUCCCCCCCAGCCUGGCAGAGGUGGGGAGCCUUUGGAAAGCCCCCGACGUGCCCGGGCGCCGCAACGGUUCGGCUUUUGUGUCUAUUUUAGCGCAGGACUCCGCCGCGCCCCGCGCCCCGCUAGCUGGCUGCAAGACCAGCAAAAAAAAAAAAA